CGCCUACGGGGGGCAGCAGUGAGGAAUAUUGGUCAAUGGCCGCAGGGCUGAACCAGCCAAGUCGCGUGAGGGAUGACGGUCCUAUGGAUUGUAAACCUCUUUUGUCGGAGAACAAAACCCGGGACGUGUCCCGGACUGCGUGUAUCCGAAGAAAAAGCAUCGGCUAACUCCGUGCCAGCAGCCGCGGUAAUACGGAGGAUGCGGGCGUUAUCCGGAUUUAUUGGGUUUAAAGGGUGCGUAGGCGGUCCGUUAAGUCAGCGGUAAAAUUGCGGGGCUCAACCCCGUCGAGCCGUUGAAACUGGCAG
rnacentral:rRNA from 1 species